GUGCUGCUCCAUGUAGCUUUAUCGUAAUGUUUCGUUAGAAUCUUGACAGAAUGAGAGUUGCUUUCUUUUAAAGUGUUGCUGACUGUUGGUGUUGCCGACACCCACACCAUACACACACACACACACACACACACACACACACGCGCGCUCACACACACGCACGCACACACACACACAAACCCCACACAUGCAUAGAAUGUUUUAAAACUGCCCAAAUCGGCUGUAGGCCUGAUGACUGCAGUCCCUAGUUUACAUGCAAAAACAAACAAGACACAGUUAACCAUUUUCAUUCUUAGAACUGGAAAUCUUGAUAAACCUGGAGGGUUUUUACGUGCGUGUUCCCUGCGUGGCAGAGAGCGCCAGCUCUUGUCAUACAUAUCAGCAGUUCAUUUUACACUUUUUAUAAGAGUAAAGGGUGUUUGGGGGGGUAUGGGGCAUCUGUCUUUAUACACACUCUGAGGCGUGCAGAGAUGUGCUAGACACUUCCUGGACCAGAAGAGGUUGAAUGCAGCUUUAGAAGGUGUGAGAUGAAUUUUUUCAGACCUGCUAACUGGUUGCGGGUUAGGAGCUUGGUGCUUGAGUUGCACUUAUGUAGAAUAUUGACACAAUUCCAGAUUUUCUCUCUCGGACCCAAACCUGAUGUCAUUUGUCCCAUAUCCAGUCUCUGUAACACUCUGUGCUGGGAUAAUGCAAAGCACCAGAUAAAACAGGCUGUUUAUUAUAGCUGACAACUGAUUUAUUUUUAAUUUUUUUGGUUCUCUCAAACAGACUGUUUGGUUCUUUUAGGUAUCGUUUUGAACACCUAAUUAUGUUUAGAAGCACAAGACAUGACAUCCUAUCAGACAACUGUGAAAUAAUGGAUUAUUUCAUUGCCAUUUAGUCUUUGUUACUUUUUGUAAGGUUGGAUUGGACUCUUAUUUUUUAAGGUGUUUGGACCUUAGUUAUUGCUGUGGAGGAGAAUUCUGAUGUGUAAAUCAAAGCUGCGGAGGCUGUGCAUGCUUCUCCUUAUGUCCACCAGGUGGCGGUGAUGGGCUAUAAUGUAUACAUUCCCCACGUGUGCAUGUAGAAGGAGCAGCAGAUGGCACACACGUGUGUGAAGUUUUCAGAUCCUUUUAUACAGCUUUGCAAAUUCAAAUUCUGACCUUUCACCAUCACGGUCCAUCAGAUGCCUUGGAUCAGGUGUUUCUGCUGCUGGUUUGAAUUGGUUUUUGCUUUCAGACUUUUGUUUUUCCAUUGUAGUAGUAGUAGUAGUAGUUGUAGUUGUGUUUACAUUAACAGGCCAGAUUACCUGUAGUUCAGGUUUCAGCUAUGGAUGCUACUGGUGUUCAUAUAGGGGAAUGGCUUUGUCCUUUUUGAGUGCAGAAUUUAAAAAAGUCUGUGUGUAUUGAAGGUAAAGGGUAGCUUGGCAGAAGAGAACAGGUUCUGUCAUUGUUUUGCACAGAUUCAUUGCUGGCUACUGCACGUGUUUCUAUAGCUGUGCUGCUGUGUCCAUAUCGGUGAAGAAAAACACGUACGGAAACCAAGUCAGUCUGAGAAAGAAAAACAGAAAACGGUCUGUUUGAAACUACUGCCCCAUCCAUCCCACUGUAACAGGCAAGGUUCACACACACUUCCUCAGACAAAAAUACUGCUAACGCACAUUUUUAAAACCACAUUUGCGUCAUUGAUGCAAAAUGGCAAGGUUUAUUCAAAGCUCAUCGUUAGAAUAGAAAGCAACGCUUAACUACACUUUAUACAUUUUCCUGCAUGUUCAACACGAGUUUCAUUUUGACUCCAGGUCCAGUUUAUUAAAAAAACAAACACUAAAGCUUCAUGCAACUUGGAAGUGGAAUCUUACAUUGUGGCCUUUUUGAAGAAAUAAUGUCAUGGAGGAAGUGGAGGCUUUAAGUUAUUGCCAAAUUCCCAGUGUGCGUUUUAAUGCCAGGACACUUUUUUUGUGACUGCUGAGUCCCCAUAACUGGGAACAAUGGUCUGUGCACUACGUUCGCCUGAGGGAACGUGUCGUCCAUCUCCAGCCAUUCCACUGUUGCUUCACUUGUCUGCUUGUAGCUGUAGCCUUUACCUUCUCGCUAAGAUACGUCAAGUAUUAGAAGUGCAUUUCUUUCCCUUUUUCUUGCUUUCAUUGUCUUUCCUAAUCCAGAGUUUAGAACGCGUUUCCUUUUCUAGUCGGGCGGUUUUCACAGCAUCAGUACUCAAGCCGGAGUUCUCUCCAAUCCAGUUGAAUUAUGACUGCUAACUGAUUAACGUUCCCAACGCAGUUUCCUCAGACCGAGACCAUGUUUUGCAGCUGUGACACAAAUGUGAAGCCAGGACUCGAAGAGACAUCAAGCACACAAAGCUCUGACCCGUUCUCUUGUGUAUGUGUACGAUAUUCAGCGUGUAAUCAUCUUAAAGAGAAUCUACAGCCAAAGCAUGUAACCUGGCUUUACGCCUUAAAUGGCUACUCACAAAACUUGACUGUACAAUGUAAACAUUUCCACAGUGGCCUGGAUUGGUAAACUAAUAAAACUAAGAUUUGUAGCCUGA